UGGGGGAUAUUGCACAAUGGGCGAAAGCCUGAUGCAGCGACGCCGCGUGGGGGAUGAAGGCCUUCGGGUUGUAAACUUCUUUUGCUCUGAACAAGGCAUGCUAAUGGGUGUGUUGAGUGUAGGGGUUGAUUAGCGCCGGCUAACUACGUGCCAGCAGCCGCGGUAAUACGUAGGGCGCGAGCGUUGUCCGGAAUUAUUGGGCGUAAAGGGCUUGUAGGUGGCUGGUUGCGUCUGUCGUGAAAGCUCAUGGCUUAACUGUGGGUUUGCGGUGGGUACGGGCUGGCUUGAGUGCAGUAGGGGAGGCUGGAAUUCCUGGUGUAGCGGUGGAAUGCGCAGAUAUCAGGAGGAAUACCGGUGGCGAAGGCGGGUCUCUGGGCUGUUACUGACACUGAGGAGCUAAAGCAUGGGGAGCGAACAGG
rnacentral:rRNA from 1 species